AAGUCCCGAAAGGGGGGCAACCUUUUUCCUUAGUUACCGGCAAGUAAUGGUGUGGAAUUUUAAGGGGAACUGCCGGGGACCAAACCGGAGGAAAGGUGGGGAUGACGUCAAGUCAUCAUGGCCCUUACGGCCUGGGGGCUACAACAACGUGCUACAAUGGUUCGGUACAAAAGGGUUGCCAAGCCGGCGGAGGUGGAGCUAAUCUCAUAAAACCGAUCGUAGUCCGGAUCGCAGUCUGCAACUCGACUGCGUGAAGUCGGAAUCGCUAGUAAUCGUGAAUCAGAAUGUCACGGUGAAUACGUUCCCGGGCCUUGUACACACGCC
rnacentral:rRNA from 1 species